CCAAAGUCCCACCCCCUUCAUCACUCUCUCUCUCUCUCUCUCUCUCUCGAUCUCUCUCACUCAGCGCACGUUUCUCUCUCCGGCAGCUCUCUCUCCGGCCCUCCUAUCACUCUCCGGCACACUCAACUCUCUCCGGUAGCUAUCUCUCCGGCGUACCUCUCUCCGCUGGUAGAAAUAUUAAUCAAUAAAGUUGAGACAUCAGUGAGAUUUCCUCCUACUUUGAGGGCAUUUACAUGCUCUGUUUCUGCAUGGCUUAAGAGGUUGAGGGAUAUUGCUCUCAAGGAGGAAAUGAAGAUACAUGAUGCUGACAUUUGAACCACUCUGACCUUAUUAGGGUUGACCAGUUCUUUAUCAAGGUUUGUACUUGUAAAACCUCAUCAGAGUUAGCAAUGUGGUAAUUGUUGCA